AUUUGGAGAGGAUGCUUCUGGCGCGGCGCCGUCCGAGUUCCUUGGAACAGGACGCCAUAGAGGGUGAGAGCCCCGUACGGGCGGACGCCUAGCCUCUGUGAAGCUCCUUCGACGAGUCGAGUAGUUUGGGAAUGCUGCUCAAAAUGGGAGGUAAAUUUCUUCUAAAGCUAAAUACCGGCCAGAGACCGAUAGCGCACAAGUAGAGUGAUCGAAAGAUGAAAAGCACUUUGAAAAGAGGGUUAAAAAGUACGUGAAAUUGUUGAAAGGGAAGCGCCUGUGACCAGACUUGCUGCCCGCGGAUCAUCCGGCGUUCCUCGCCGGUGCACUCCGCGGGCGGCAGGCCAGCAUCGGUUUUCCUGGGGGGUCAAAGGUCGCGGGAACGUGGCUCCUUCGGGAGUGUUAUAGCCCGCGGCGUCAUGCCUCUGGGGGGACCGAGGACCGCGCUUCGGCAAGGAUGCUGGCGUAAUGGUCACCGGCGACCCGUCUUGAAACACGGACCAAGGAGUCAAGCAUUGGGGCGAGUGUCUGGGUGCCAAACCCGCACGCGAAAUGAAAGUAAACGCAGGUGAGAGCUUCGGCGCAUCACCGACCGAUCCUGAUGUCUUCGGAUGGAUUUGAGUAAGAGCCUUACCGCUUGGACCCGAAAGAUGGUGAACUAUGCCUGUAUAGGGUGAAGCCAGAGGAAACUCUGGUGGAGG
rnacentral:rRNA from 1 species